UAGGGAAUCUUCCACAAUGGACGCAAGUCUGAUGGAGCAACGCCGCGUGAGUGAAGAAGGUUUUCGUAUCGUAAAGCUUUGUUGUUGGUGAAGAAGGAUAGAGGCAGUAACUGGUCCUUAUUUGACGGUAAUCAACCAGAAAGUCAUGGCUAACUACGUGCCAGCAUCCGCGGUAAUACGUAGGUGGCAAGCGGUGUCCGGCUUUAUUGGGCGUAAAGCGAGCGCAGGCGGAAAGAUAAGUCUGAUGAUGAAGACCACGGCUCAACCGUGGAAGUGCAUCUUAAACUAUCGUUCUUGAGUGCAGGAGAGGAGAGUGGAGUACCAUGUGUAGCGGUGGUAUGCGUAGAUAUAUGGAGGAACACCAGUGGCGAAGGCGGCUCUCUGGUCUGCAACUGACGCUGAGGCUCGGAAGCAUGGGUAGCGAACAGG
rnacentral:rRNA from 1 species